AUUGAACGCUGGCGGCAUGCCUUACACAUGUAAGUCGAACGGCAGCACGGGUGCUUGCACCUGGUGGCGAGUGGCGAACGGGUGAGUAAUACAUCGGAACGUACCUUAUCGUGGGGGAUAACGCAGCGAAAGCUGUGCUAAUACCGCAUACGCCCUGAGGGGGAAAGCGGGGGAUCGAAAGACCUCGCGCGAUUAGAGCGGCCGAUGCCUGAUUAGCUUGUUGGUGGGGUAAAAGCCCACCAAGGCGACGAUCAGUAGCUGGUCUGAGAGGACGACCAGCCACACUGGAACUGAGACACGGCCCAGACUCCUACGGGAGGCAGCAGUGGGGAAUUUUGGACAAUGGGGGCAACCCUGAUCCAGCAAUGCCCCGUGAGUGAAGAAGGCCUUCGGGUUGUAAAGCUCUUUUGUCAGGGAAGAAACACCGGCUCUAACACAGUCCGGGAAUGACGGUACCUGAAGAAUAAGCACCGGCUAACUACGUGCCAGCCGCCGCAGUAA
rnacentral:rRNA from 1 species